GGGCCAGACUCCUACGGGAGGCAGCAGUGGGGAAUAUUGCACAAUGGGCGAAAGCCUGAUGCAGCAACGCCGCGUGAAGGAAGAAGGGUUUCGGCUCGUAAACUUCUAUCAACAGGGACGAAAGAAAUGACGGUACCUGAAUAAGAAGCCCCGGCUAACUCCGUGCCAGCAGCCGCGGUAAUACGGAGGAUGCGAGCGUUAUCCGGAUUUAUUGGGUUUAAAGGGUGCGCAGGCGGAAUGUCAAGUCAGCGGUAAAAUUUCGGGGCUCAACCCCGUCGUGCCGUUGAAACUGGCGUUCUUGAGUGAGCGAGAAGUAUGCGGAAUGCGUGGUGUAGCGGUGAAAUGCAUAGAUAUCGCGCAGAACUCCGAUUGCGAAGGCAGCAUGCCGGCUCCACACUGACGCUGAGGCACGAAAGCGUGGGUAUCGAACAGGAUUAGAUACCCCCGUA
rnacentral:rRNA from 1 species